rnacentral:piRNA from 1 species
UAAACGUAGGAGAACUUGCCGAUCUU